UAAGACAGAGGCCUCAAGCGUUAGGCGGAAUCACUGGGCUUAAAGCGUGUGUAGGCGGGUCGUUAAGUACCUUGUGAAAUCCCACGGCUCACCCGUGGAACUGCUGGGUAUACUGGCGAUCUUGGGCCAUUUAGGGGCAACUGGAACAAGCGGUGGAGCGGUGAAAUGCGUAGAUAUCGCUUGGAACGCCAAAGGUGAAAACAGGUUGCUGGGAAUGUGCCGACGCUGAGACACGAAAGCCAGGGGAGCAAACGGGAUUAGAUACCCCGGUAGUCCUGGCCCUAAACGAUGUCCACUAGAUUGCGGCGGGUUUGACCCCGUCGCGGUCGAAGCAAAAGUGUUAAGUGGACCGCCUGGGAAGUACGGUCGCAAGGCUA
rnacentral:rRNA from 1 species